CUUCGCACUACUUUACUUUGAAAAGACAGAGCGGAAGUACCAGAUGUUAGAUUGUUAGCUACCUGCUUCUAAAAACAUCUGCUAGCAACAAUGAGUGAUGCUAGCACCCUUGCUAACAUAGCAUGCUACUACGAGACUAAUCCCAAUCAACUCAAGACUUCACUCCACAGUCAGUCAAGCCUCAGGUCAUUCAGCUGUCAACAAGAAAGACCGUGAACGCAUCACAUCAGCUACUCAUUGGCAUCUGCUGUGCUUUCUGCUGCUGAAGCUCUUCUCGUAAAGCACAAACACCCAGAGGAACCAAAUGAGACAACAAAAGAACAGUUUCCAUGAUCCCACGCUGCUUUCUGAUGUCAUCUAUCUCUUUUAUUUUUUUGUUAUUUUUGAUUGAGAGAUCCACAGGGUAGCAAACAUCACAUGAAUUCAGUCGACAAUGGGACUGAAAGCGCCUUGAAUAACAUGAUCUGAUAAUCAAAGGUCAUUUAUCAUCGCCAUGCAGUUCUGUCACAUUCUGUCAAGAUCAUUUGCUCCAAAUGAAAUGAUGGAAAUUUGCGUUUUGUUGUUUUUUUUUCAUAAUGUUUUACAUAGCAAUGAUGUUGUAAAUGGCUAAUAAAGAGUUAAGUGAUACAAAUCAAAACAUGUUUGGUAGUAAAGGGUGACAUAAGUGCUUUACAGCGGCAAUAGUCACAAGAGGAAAGUUUCGAAAGAGCAAAGUAAACACACUUGUUCCUCAGUGGAAACAGUUUGUGUUGACACAGUAGAUUUGUGCCUUUGUCCCUCUGCAUGGUUUUGAUGGUUGAAAGAUGAUCCUGCCAAACAGUGAGAUGUGGCACGUGCUCCCUCAUGUAAAGGUAACAAAUGCAGACCAUCAUCUGCUCACCGAGCACAUCUCCCUCUUCAAGUUCAAGGCACAAAAACAUUCAAAUAUUUUCCACAAAAGAAACCAAAAAUGUGUCCUCCACUCCUUCAAACAAAGAGCAAGUGAC